CGAAGCCUGACGGAGCAACGCCGCGUGAGUGAUGAAGGGUUUCGGCUCGUAAAACUCUGUUAUUAGGGAAGAACAAACGUGUAAGUAACUGUGCACGUCUUGACGGUACCUAAUCAGAAAGCCACGGCUAACUACGUGCCAGCAGCCGCGGUAAUACGUAGGUGGCAAGCGUUAUCCGGAAUUAUUGGGCGUAAAGCGCGCGUAGGCGGUUUCUUAAGUCUGAUGUGAAAGCCCACGGCUCAACCGUGGAGGGUCAUUGGAAACUGGGAAACUUGAGUGCAGAAGAGGAAAGUGGAAUUCCAUGUGUAGCGGUGAAAUGCGCAGAGAUAUGGAGGAACACCAGUGGCGAAGGCGACUUUCUGGUCUGUAACUGACGCUGAUGUGCGAAAGCGUGGGGAUCAAACAGGAUUAGAUACCCUGGUAGUCCACGCCGUAAACGAUGAGUGCUAAGUGUUAGGGGGUUUCCGCCCCUUAUGGCGG
rnacentral:rRNA from 1 species